AGUGGCAGACGGGUGAGUAAUGUAUAGGAAUCUACCUAGUAGUACGGAAUAAUUGUUGGAAACGGCAACUAAUACCGUAUACGCCCUACGGGGGAAAAAUUUAUUGCUAUUAGAUGAGCCUAUAUUAGAUUAGUUAGUUGGUGAGGUAAAGGCUUACCAAGACAAUGAUCUAUAGCUGAUCUGAGAGGAUGAUCAGCCACACUGGAACUGAGAUACGGUCCAGACUCCUACGGGAGGCAGCAGUGGGGAAUAUUGGACAAUGGGCGAAAGCCUGAUCCAGCCAUGCCGCAUGAGUGAAGAAGGCCUUCGGGUUGUAAAGCUCUUUUAGUGAGGAAGAUAAUGACGGUACUCACAGAAGAAGUCCUGGCUAACUCUGUGCCAGCAGCCGCGGUAAUACGGAGAGGGCUAGCGUUAUUCGGAAUCAUUGGGCGUAAAGGGCGCGUAGGCGGGUUAAUAAGUUAAAAGUGAAAUCCCAAGGCUCAACCUUGGAACUGCUUUUAAAACUGCUAGUCUAGAGAUUGAAAGAGGAUAGAGGAAUUCCUAGUGUAGAGGUGAAAUUCGUAAAUAUUAGGAGGAACACCAGUGGCGAANGCGUCUAUCUGGUUCAAAUCUGACGCUGNNNGCGA
rnacentral:rRNA from 1 species